AAUAGAUACCCGGGUAGUCCACGCCGUAAACGAUGAGUGCUAAGUGUUAGAGGGUUUCCGCCCUUUAGUGCUGCAGCUAACGCAUUAAGCACUCCGCCUGGGGAGUACGGCCGCAAGGCUGAAACUCGAAAGGAAUUGACGGGGGCCCGCACAAGCGGUGGAGCAUGUGGUUUAAUUCGAAGCAACGCGAAGAACCUUACCAGGUCUUGACAUCCUCUGCCAACCCUAGAGAUAGGGCGUUCCCCUUCGGGGGACAGAGUGACAGGUGGUGCAUGGUUGUCGUCAGCUCGUGUCGUGAGAUGUUGGGUUAAGUCCCGCAACGAGCGCAACCCUUGAUCUUAGUUGCCAGCAUUUAGUUGGGCACUCUAAGGUGACUGCCGGUGACAAACCGGAGGAAGGUGGGGAUGACGUCAAAUCAUCAUGCCCCUUAUGACCUGGGCUACACACGUGCUACAAUGGAUGGUACAAAGAGCUGCGAACCCGCGAGGGUAAGCGAAUCUCAUAAAGCCAUUCUCAGUUCGGAUUGUAGGCUGAC
rnacentral:rRNA from 1 species